AAAAAAACAAACCCUAGGUUUCCGUGUUCAACGUUUGACUGUCUGUCUUAUAUGAAUUUUUUUAUAACUAGUAUUUUCAUUGUUGUUAGAUGAUAAAACAUGAUUAAUACUUUAUGCGUGACUAGUCUUUUUAAUUUUUUUCAUAAUUUUUUAAAUAAGACGAACGAUCAAACGUUGGAUACAGAAAUCUAGGGUUUGUCUUUUU
rfam:Oryza meridionalis cultivar OR44 (W2112) chromosome 3, whole genome shotgun sequence.